GACGAACGCUGGCGGCGUGCUUAACACAUGCAAGUCGAACGGAAAGGCCCUGCUUUUGUGGGGUGCUCGAGAGGCGAACGGGUGAGUAACACGUGAGGAACCUGCCCUUGACUUUGGGAUAACUUCAGGAAACUGGGGCUAAUACCGGAUAGGAGCUCCUGCUGCAUGGUGGGGGUUGGAAAGUUUCGGCGGUUGGGGAUGGACUCGCGGCUUAUCAGCUUGUUGGUGGGGUAGUGGCUUACCAAGGCUUUGACGGGUAGCCGGCCUGAGAGGGUGACCGGCCACAUUGGGACUGAGAUACGGCCCAGACUCCUACGGGAGGCAGCAGUGGGGAAUAUUGCACAAUGGGCGGAAGCCUGAUGCAGCAACGCCGCGUGCGGGAUGACGGCCUUCGGGUUGUAAACCGCUUUCGCCUGUGACGAAGCGUGAGUGACGGUAAUGGGUAAAGAAGCACCGGCUAACUACGUG
rnacentral:rRNA from 1 species